GCUGCGAUGUCGGAGUGGUUAACGAGUCAGACUUGAACCCCUACGUGGGCCUAGACAUCUGAUGCCUUCGGGCGCGCAGGUUCGAAUCCGUUCGUCGCC
rfam:Rachicladosporium sp. CCFEE 5018 unplaced genomic scaffold Supercontig_19, whole genome shotgun sequence.